AUAUAGAAUGUUACAAUGAUUUUUAGAAUGCAUGGCUGCAAUUGUAAAUCACAUUUUCCUGUUUUAAGAAUUUAAUGAAAUUUGAGAUUGAUUUUUUAUAAUUUUAUGAUUUCGAUAGUCGUUGUGUCUUAGGAAUUAAAGAUUGGAUUUUGUCGAUCGAUCGAAACUUUUUCAACAAAUUAAAAUUUUUAUUUUAAAAUUUAAAAAAAAAUUAUUUUAUACAUUUGAAAA